UACCAGCACCCCGAGUGGUCGGGACGUUUAUUGGGCCUAAAGCAUCCGUAGCCGGUUCUACAAGUCUUCCGUUAAAUCCAACUGCUUAACAGGUGGGCUGCGGAAGAUACUAUAGAGCUAGGAGGCGGGAGAGGCAAGCGGUACUCGAUGGGUAGGGGUAAAAUCCGUUGAUCCAUUGAAGACCACCAGUGGCGAAGGCGGCUUGCCAGAACGCGCUCGACAGUGAGGGAUGAAAGCUGGGGGAGCAAACCGG
rnacentral:rRNA from 1 species